GGGAUGUCCGACCUUUCUUCUUCCAAGUUAACAGAAACCAGCUUGCCUGAUGGGUGCGAUCUUCCUGUGUCACGCCAUGCCAAGAUCGAGUGGGUAGUGUCGCGGCAGGUGGUGUCUGUGCACAGACUCGCUAAUUGACAACCUCCACAGGUCCUCGCUACCAUGUGUGGGCUUGGCAUGGGCAUAUGCAUCCUCUCCGUGAUGGAUGAGCGGAGGAACAGACGCAACGGCUUCUGUCACCAUAGCACACCUCAUGGGAAUGUUCUACACAGGAGCUGAAAUGAACCCUGCCAGAUCCUUCAUCCCUGUUGUGUUCAAG